AGCGAACGCUGGCGGCAGGCUUAACACAUGCAAGUCGAGCGGGCGUAGUAAUACGUCAGCGGCAGACGGGUGAGUAACGCGUGGGAACGUACCUUUUGGUUCGGAACAACACAGGGAAACUUGUGCUAAUACCGGAUAAGCCCUUACGGGGAAAGAUUUAUCGCCGAAAGAUCGGCCCGCGUCUGAUUAGCUAGUUGGUGAGGUAACGGCUCACCAAGGCGACGAUCAGUAGCUGGUCUGAGAGGAUGAUCAGCCACAUUGGGACUGAGACACGGCCCAAACUCCUACGGGAGGCAGCAGUGGGGAAUAUUGGACAAUGGGCGAAAGCCUGAUCCAGCAAUGCCGCGUGAGUGAUGAAGGCCUUAGGGUUGUAAAGCUCUUUUACCCGGGAUGAUAAUGACAGUACCGGGAGAAUAAGCCCCGGCUAACUCCGUGCCAGCAGCCGCGGUAAU
rnacentral:rRNA from 1 species